GGCGACUCCAGCGUUCCUGCUUCAGAACAAAGCUGAGUCAGUGGCGCGUCACGUGCGUCACGUGACCUCGCGUUUUCCACCGGGGGCUCCCACCUGACGCUCGCAUCCUUUCUGCGGGACAGAGCGCGUGACAGUUCAGCCAUUUUUCACGGGUUUGUUCUCACCCUGACGUCAUCGCAGCUGAACAUGAAGAUGGUGGCGUUCUUCCUCCUCACUCCCUUUACGGACACCGUGAGCAGGGACUUGAACGCGCCGCCGUCCAUCACGGCCUUCAUCUCCAGGACGUCGCUGAGCGCCACGGACUCCAGCUCCUCCUGAACAAACACAGCAGCUGGGUUAUAACAUGGGAAGACUCAGACAUACUCAGUUCAACUCACUUCAGUUUUAUUUCUAUAGCGCCAAAUCACAACAAAGUUAUCUCAAGGCACUUUACAAGCAGCAGUGGGAGUGGGGAGGAAAAACUCCCUCUGUAACAAGGAAGAAACCUCCAGCAGAACCAGACUGAAUCUGCCUCCACCGGUUGGAGUGAGUGGAAAGAGAGAGAGAGAGAGAGAGAGAGAGAGAGAGAGAGAGAGAGAGAGA